rnacentral:rRNA from 1 species
UACGUAGGGGGCAAGCGUUGUCCGGAAUCAUUGGGCGUAAAGAGCGUGUAGGCGGCUCGAAAAGUCCGCUGUGAAAACUCGAGGCUCAACUUCGAGCUGUCGGUGGAAACUUUCUGGCUAGAGUCCGGAAGAGGAGAAUGGAAUUCCUGGUGUAGCGGUGAAAUGCGCAGAUAUCAGGAAGAACACCCGUGGCGAAGGCGGUUCUCUGGGACGGUACUGACGCUGAGACGCGAAAGCGUGGGGAGCGAACAGG